rnacentral:rRNA from 1 species
GGCAGACGGGUGAGUAAUACUUGGGCAAUCUGCCCUUGAGUGGGAAACAACCUGCCGAAAGGCGGGCUAAUGUCCCAUAAGACCACAGGAUGGCAUCAUCUAGGGGUCAAAGCUCCGCAAGGGGCGCUUGAUGGAGGAGCCCGAGUCCUAUCAUGGUAGUUGGUGAGGUAACAGCUUACCAAGCCUUUGACGGGUAGCCGGCCUGAAAGGGUGACCGGCCACACUGGCACUGAGACACGGGCCAGACUCAUAACGGGAGGCAGCAGUGGGGAAUUUUGGACAAUGGGGGCAACCCUGAUCCAGCGACGCCGCGCGAAGGAUGAAGGCCUUCGGGUUGUAAACUUCUUUUGAUGGGGAGGAAUGCCUGCGUGAAAAACGCAGGGUGACAGUACCCAUUGAAUAAGCCACGGCUAACUACGUGCCAGCAGCCGCGG